CACUGCCGAGAAAAGCCUCUAGAUAGAAAAUAGGUGCCCGUACCGCAAACCGACACAGGUAGUCAAGAUGAGAAUUCUAAGGUGAGCGAGCGAACUCUCGUUAAGGAACUCGGCAAAAUGACCCCGUAACUUCGGGAGAAGGGGUGCUCUUUAGGGUUAACGCCCAGAAGAGCCGCAGUGAAUAGGCCCAAGCGACUGUUUAUCAAAAACACAGGUCUCUGCUAAACCGUAAGGUGAUGUAUAGGGGCUGACGCCUGCCCGGUGCUGGAAGGUUAAGAGGAGUGGUUAGCUUCUGCGAAGCUACGAAUCGAAGCCCCAGUAAACGGCGGCCGUAACUAUAACGGUCCUAAGGUAGCGAAAUUCCUUGUCGGGUAAGUUCCGACCCGCACGAAAGGCGUAACGAUUUGGGCACUGUCUCAACGAGAGACUCGGUGAAAUCAUAGUACCUGUGAAGAUGCAGGUUACCCGCGACAGGACGGAAAGACCCCGUGGAGCUUUACUGUAGCCUGAUAUUGAAAUUCGGCACAGCUUGUACAGGAUAGGUAGGAGCCUUUGAAACGUGAG
rnacentral:rRNA from 1 species